rnacentral:rRNA from 1 species
UACGAGGGGGGCAAGCGUUGUUCGGAAUUAUUGGGCGUAAAGGGCGCGUAGGCGGUGCGGUAAGUCACCUGUGAAACCUCUAGGCUUAACCUAGAGCCUGCAGGCGAAACUGCCGUGCUGGAGUGUGGGAGAGGUGCGUGGAAUUCCCGGUGUAGCGGUGAAAUGCGCAGAUAUCGGGAAGAACACCCGUGGCGAAGGCGGCUCUCUGGGACGGUACUGACGCUGAGACGCGAAAGCGUGGGGAGCGAACAGG